rnacentral:rRNA from 1 species
UACGUAGGGUGCGAGCGUUAAUCGGAAUCACUGGGCGUAAAGGGCGUGUAGGCGGGAAGGAAAGUCAGAUGUGAAAUCCCUGGGCUCAACCCAGGAACUGCAUUUGAAACUCCCUUUCUUGAGUGUCGGAGAGGAAAGUGGAAUUCCUGGUGUAGAGGUGAAAUUCGUAGAUAUCAGGAGGAACACCGGUGGCGAAGGCGGCUUUCUGGACGACAACUGACGCUGAGACGCGAAAGCGUGGGGAGCAAACAGG